UGUAUUGCUGCUUCUGGAGACUGAAGCCUUCUGUCCACAGAAGAGAGACAUCACAGACUGGAGGAGUCCAAGCUUCCCCAAUCUGCUCUCUCCGUUUGUGCUUCAACCCUGACCUGGAGAUGAGAAGGAAGCUCAUUUUCUUCCUUCUGGUUUCUCUGCCAACAAGGGUGCCAUUUAUGAUGAAGGUCUGUCUGUGUUUGGCUGCAGUAUGUCACACCCACAAGCAGGGAGCGCCUGCUGGCAGAAUAAGAAAGAGAGAUUGGAAUCUCUACCUGAGACAUGGGACUGAAAGCAGUACAUCCAUGCGGGGACAGUACCUGGGACAGCAGGCACAUGCUAAGAGAAGAGCACAUUAUGGUAACACAACUACAUGCUAUUCUCUUCUCAGGAUGGACUGUAAUGUUCCAGUUUAGACAAAUGUACCUGUUGGACAAUCAAAGGAGUUGCUCCAUUCCUAUGGACCCCAAAUCAGA